UUUCCGUAGGUUAACCUGCGGAAGGAUCAUUAAAGAUUCAAAAACUCCUCGGCUGUGCGCUUCGGCUGCACGCUGGGGUUAAUCCACACACACACCUGUGCACACUUCGGUUGCGAAAGGCUUAACGGCCGGACGCUUCCGCUUUUACACAUAUAACAAAACCGUCCAGAAUGUAACACACUAUAAAAGUAACAACUUUCAACAACGGAUCUCUUGGCUCUCGCAUCGAUGAAGAACGCAGC
rnacentral:misc_RNA from 1 species